rnacentral:rRNA from 1 species
GUCCACGCCGUAAACUAUGAUUACUAGGUGUCCGGGAUGUUAACCUCCUGGGUACCGUAGCUCACGCAUUAAGUAAUCCGCCUGGGGAGUACGGUCGCAAGACUAAAACUCAAAGGAAUUGACGGGGGCCCGCACAAGCGGUGGAGUAUGUGGUUUAAUUCGAAGCAACGCGCAGAACCUUACCUGGGCUUAACAUCCACUGACAAUCGCAGAGAUGUGACUUUCCCUUCGGGGACAGUGAGAUAGGUGCUGCAUGGCUGUCGU